CAUUCAGGCUUUAAAAUCUUUGCCGUCGCCCUCAACGGUCCCUUUUGAAUCCGUCUGUCGGUCCAACACAUGCGGCUCUCCUCGGCAGUUUUCACUGAACUUGUUAAGAGUAGUUGUAACUACAAGGACACAAUACGAACUGUGCAAACAACACGCUAGCUGAGCGGUAGUUUGAGUCUGUAGCUAAAAUCUGCUAGCUAAAGUGUAGCGUUAGCAUUGUACAGGCAGGCCUCGUGCAGCCACGUGGAGAAAACUGAGAAAUGGAAAAGAUGAAGAACAAGGUGGAUUUGAGUCUGGCAGCUCUCUGCAUGAGUCUAAUGAGUGGUGUCCCUGCGAGGUCAGAAGAAUGGGUCCAUUCAAGAUGAUAAAGGCACAUUAUAGUCACACUGAGCUGAAAGAACUUGUGUUAGCUGCCACGAGAGAUGAAGUUGCCAUGCAGUGCUGCUCAUGCUCCCAAUUGAACCAUCUGGCCUGAAGAUGAUUGAUUUUUGCACAGGUUGGGUUCGUGAAGUAAGAAGAUUAAUCUGAAAGGUGACUCAUUCCUGGGUGCAGCUACAUCUGAGACAGACCUUGCAUCAUUCUGCCAGUCUGCUCCUGUCCCCUGAAGUCUGCUGCCGAGUGAAUUCACAGAAUUGGAUCGAGCAGUUGCAGCGACUCUGCCUCAGUCGACCUGCAAGCCACAUGUGAUGACAGGACGACUCAUGGACACUGGUCUGAAGGUGGAUGUCGACAUGUGUUUUGAAAACUAUUUUACACUGUAAAAUGCAGUAUGAGUAAAUGUGUGGUAUGACUCCAAUAAAGUGUCAGGACUGCCUGAAUAACUGAAACCAGUGGUGUUGCUACUUCUUUAGCCUGCACUGACACACAAGCAAAUCUAACAGGUGGGACCAAGUCACAAGUUAGUCUUAAAUGAGAUUUGAGUCCCAAACAAGUCAUCAUAUGCCCUUUGUCAAAUGUGCCAUUAAUGUGGACUAAUGUUUGGUUACAUAAGUAAUUCCUUUUUUUUUUUCUUUUUAAUUAAACAUGCUUGUUAAAGUUACCUAGCUGUUACGCUAAUAUUAGUGAUACGUUAGCUCACAGCUAUGUUAACCUUCACUUACCGUUCUUUGUGCCACUUAAACUUGUCGACCACUGUUUUUUUUUUUUUUUUUUUUGUAUAUGAAUGAAAUCAUGUAUCUUUUUUUCCCAAACUGCCGCCUGAUAGUUUUUAUGGUUGCUGGUAACAAGUAGCGUGCACAGUUGAAUCAGGAAAUGAAGGGAAAUGUAUUGAUUUGUGGUUCACUUAACUAAAUAACAUGCUUUACAGUCUCGUGCUUUAAGGCAUCAAGUAUUUAAGUCCGAGUGAGGUCAUGAGUCAUUGGUGUUAAAACCUGAGAAGCAAGUCUUACAUUUUUUGAGAUCAUAGCUUCUCAUAAAAUUUGCUUGAAGUCCAUACCUGUGAAAUACAAUAUGUAGGAACUAAAAACUGAAACUGCUCUUUAAUUGAAAUGGACCCACCACCAAUCCCAGAAAGACUUAAGAUGAAUAAACUGCUGAAGUCGUGCACCCAGUCCUCUCCAUAUUUUCUAGUCGUUUACAUGAACCUAAAGUCAUGACUUUAUAUUUUUCUAAUAUGGGGAAGUUUUCACUUUUUCUUCAAGAUGCCUGUGAUUAAAUGUACUGAUUUUGAUUUGCAGCUAAAGCAACCUCUUAGCACGCCCAAUGACCU